rnacentral:rRNA from 1 species
ACGGAGGGUGCAAGCGUUAUCCGGAUUUAUUGGGUUUAAAGGGUCCGUAGGCGGGCUAAUAAGUCAGUGGUGAAAUCCUAUCGCUUAACGAUAGAACUGCCAUUGAUACUGUUAGUCUUGAAUAAGGUUGCAGUGGUUGGAAUGUGUAGUGUAGCGGUGAAAUGCUUAGAUAUUACACAGAACACCGAUUGCGAAGGCAGAUCACUAAGCCUUUAUUGACGCUGAGGGACGAAAGCGUGGGGAGCGAACAGG